CUCUCGUUAAUUAUAGCCCCGCCCACCGUCAGGCCCCGCCUUCUCGGGACCGAAGUCUCCGCCGCACCGGACACGGGACUCUCCGAGGUCGCUCACUGCCGGUGGGUGUGAUCAAGGCCAGGAUGCCGUUGGAGCCGGCCCUGGUGCUCUCUCCUUCCCUGCCCCCGGUUUCCAGUCGUCAAGAUCGCGGGUUCUCUGGAGUGCGCUCGGAGUCAGUUGUCAGGAGUCCCGCGGACGGCGUCCAGAAGUGGGCCUUUGGCGCCACCUGUCUUCGGUGCUUGCAGCCACCAGGAAAGCACAGCACUGCUCAAUGAACAAUUGCUUCACUCGUUAAGUAUUUGUGUAACUCUAACAUCUGCCGACUCCCCCCAGCAGAACAGCAGAUCUGCUCUCAUCGUAUUUGGAAGACCCUGGCCCUCAAGCUGAGUGGUCUUUGUGUCUUUAUAGCAGCUUGGGGUCCUUCCUCUUGAAUCCCGUUUCCCAGGGACAAAAGCACAGCCUCUCACCUGGGGGCCAAGAAUUGUUAGAGUCACCCAGUCGUGUCCAACUUUUCACGACCCCAUGGACUGCAGCACGACAGGCUUCCCCGUGCCUCACCAUCUCCCGGAGUUUGCCCAAGUUUAUGUCCAUCGAGUCGGUGAUGCCAUCCAACCAUCUCAUCCUCUGUCGCCCUCUUCUCCUUCUGCCUUCAAUCUUUCCCAGCAUCAAGGUCUUUUCCGAAACAGCAGCCAAAAAGAAGAAAAAUACACCUGUCUAUUCCCGGCAACCACGAGAUACAGAAAACUAGCCAGCUUUGAUCUCAGCUGACAUUCUGGGCAGGAUCUCCCCCUUGGAGCAGUUUCGCAUCCUCCGACAUUUGGUGCACGGUUAUCAAUGUGGCCACUGCUUUCCUUUGUUCCUGUCAGAUCUGACUUCCAGGAGCUUUAUACCUUCACCCAGCAAGGCAGCAACUUGCCUUUCCUGCCUCGACUAAGGGUCGGGUCCUUGUCCUUUCCAGCCACCUCAGCGAUGACUUCGCACUUAGGAACUCUGGAGGGCCAGAGCCCAGCGGGUGUGACCUAAGAGGGAAGAUGACGGUCACAGAAACUACAGCAGCCUGCCACCUGGGGAGGUUCUGGGGCUCCAGUCGUCCUGAGUCUGGACCCACAGAGGAGGCACAAACCCUCAUGGGUUUGUUCUGGAUCAGGAAGGCAGCCUACACUUCCCUGGGUGCCCUUCUCGGGGCUGUUAGCCAAGGAAGAUAAAGCUCCACUUCUGGGGAGGCUGGGCGAGGCAAAUCUCCUUUGGCAGCUUUGGGCCACAGGAUGACGUGAAAUGGGCCACCAGCCCAUUCUUGGGACCUUGGGACCUCAGUCACCCUGGAAGUGUAGGUAACAGCUGAAGGAUCAUUCACUUAAUACAUAUUCACUGGACAUCAAUUGUGUGCUAGGCACUGUGCUGGCUGCUGGUGUGUGUGAUUGUGUGUGUGUGUGUGUGUGUGUGUGUAAUAUGGAGUGCCUAUUUAUAAUUAAUAAAAACAGUAUGAAUGAGGAUGACAGCUAAAUUUAUUGAGCGUUUUUUAUGUCGUAAACCCUUUUUCUAAGCAUGGCGGCAUAUUGUGCUUUUUUUUAGUAUUGUAGUGAUUUUAUUUACGUAUUUAUUGAAGUAUGGUUGAUUUAUAAUGUUGUGUUGGUGUUUGUGUUGUUGCUGUUUUAGUCACUAAGUUGUGUCCAACUCUUUCGCCACCCCGUGGACUGUAGCCUGACAGGUUCCUCUGUCCACUGGAUUUCCCAGGCAACAAUACUCGAGUGGGUUAUCAUUUCUUUCUCCAGGGGCUCUUCCCUACCCAGGGAUUGAACCCAUAUCUCCUGCACUAGAAGGCAGAUUCUUUACCGCUGAACCACUAGGUGCUGGUGUCAUAUUAUCUUAUUUAAUUCUGGUGAUAAGCCUUGGAAGUCAGCAGAUUCUAUUAUUAUCUACUGUUUUGCAGCUGAGACAGGAUAAGUAACUUGCUGAGGGCCACUCGGCCCACUGGCGAAAUUAGAGCUCCAUCAGAUUGAGAGGUCUACACCUGUGACCAUUUG
ensembl:lncRNA